GUCGAAUGUCAGGUGGAUCAACUGCUAACUGAUCAGCAGGAGACUGUAUAUAAGCUGUCUGUAGGAGGAACUCAAUUAAACGGCUUCCAACCUUUGCUUUAGCAUCUUGGCCCCAGGGCUUUGAAUCGUCUUGACUUCUCACUAUCUGGUUCACUGCACGUAACUUCUGUUUUUUCAUUAGACUCGUGACUUUCUUGUGUAAUUUCUUUUGUUCUAGAGUGGCAUGUUCUCCGUCUUCCAUGUUCCUAUCUUUCUCGGCUUUAUGCUUCUCUGUUUUCUCUAAAAACUUGUGUAUUCUAACCUCCUGCUCAAUUGCAUCACCAAUAGUAAGCGCAGCUUGUACCACUCUUACAUUACCAUGUUCACCCCCUGUCAUCAACAAUCCCAUCAACUUAUGCAUAGUGAUAACCGCCAUCAUAUCCGCAGGUAACAGGUGAAAAUAUUUUGAAUACGCUGCUUUAGACUUCCCUUGGAUACAUAAUUCCUGCUCUUGAGCUAUCUUGUCGCGCA
rnacentral:misc_RNA from 1 species